rnacentral:rRNA from 1 species
GCCCUAGUAACGGCGAGUGAAGCGGCAACAGCUCAAAUUUGAAAUCUGGCUCUCGGGCCCGAGUUGUAAUUUGUAGAGGAUACUUUUGAUGCGGUGCCUUCCGAGUUCCCUGGAACGGGACGCCAUAGAGGGUGAGAGCCCCGUCUGGUUGGAUGCCAAAUCUCUGUAAAGUUCCUUCAACGAGUCGAGUAGUUUGGGAAUGCUGCUCUAAAUGGGAGGUAUAUGUCUUCUAAAGCUAAAUACCGGCCAGAGACCGAUAGCGCACAAGUAGAGUGAUCGAAAGAUGAAAAGCACUUUGAAAAGAGAGUUAAAAAGUACGUGAAAUUGUUGAAAGGGAAGCGUUUAUGACCAGACUUGGGCUUGGUUAAUCAUCUGGGGUUCUCCCCAGUGCACUUUUCCAGCCCAGGCCAGCAUCAGUUUUCCCCGGGGGAUAAAGGCGGCGGGAAUGUGGCUCUCUUCGGGGAGUGUUAUAGCCCGCCGUGUAAUACCCUGGGGGGGACUGAGGUUCGCGCAUCUGCAAGGAUGCUGGCGUAAUGGUCAUCAACGACCCGUCUUGAAACACGGACCAAGGAGUCGUCUUCGUAUGCGAGUGUUCGGGUGUCAAACCCCUACGCGUAAUGAAAGUGAACGCAGGUGAGAGCUUCGGCGCAUCAUCGACCGAUCCUGAUGUUCUCGGAUGGAUUUGAGUAAGAGCAUACGGGGCCGGACCCGAAAGAAGGUGAACUAUGCCUGUAUAGGGUGAAGCCAGAGGAAACUCUGGUGGAGGCUCGCAGCGGUUCUGACGUGCAAAUCGAUCGUCAAAUAUGGGCAUGGGGGCGAAAGACUAAUCGAACCUUCUAGUAGCUGGUUUCCGCCGAAGUUUCCCUCAGGAUAGCAGUGUUGAACUCAGUUUUAUGAGGUAAAGCGAAUGAUUAGGGACUCGGGGGCGCUAUUUAGCCUUCAUCCAUUCUCAAACUUUAAAUAUGUAAGAAGCUCUUGUUGCUUAAUUGAACGUGAGCAUUCGAAUGUAUCAACACUAGUGGGCCAUUUUUGGUAAGCAGAACUGGCGAUGCGGGAUGAACCGAACGCGAGGUUAAGGUGCCAGAGUAGACGCUCAUCAGACACCACAAAAGGUGUUAGUACAUCUUGACAGCAGGACGGUGGCCAUGGAAGUCGGAAUCCGCUAAGGACUGUGUAACAACUCACCUGCCGAAUGUACUAGCCCUGAAAAUGGAUGGCGCUCAAGCGUCUCACCCAUACCUCGCCCUCAGGGUAGAAACGAUGCCCUGAGGAGUAGGCGGACGUGGAGGUCAGUGACGAAGCCUA